CCGCCUCUUCCUGUCUCAGUCCAGCGCUACAGGUUACAGCUCUGCGGUCAUCCUGUGUCUUCAUAUGAACCCCCGAGACUCCAGAAUGGAGCCUGAAACGGUAAACCUUGCACGGUUGUAACUGCUGCACUAUUUAAGGUUGACCGGGAAAUUCAAACGACCCAGAUAGCAGCGGACUCCGUUCCGGAUCCGCUUUUCCUACGGCAGAUCCGUGUCACAGUAACCUCCGUUUAGCGUAUUCGGCCCGGCUCCAAUUCGGUUUCGGUUUCGCGAGUCGAUUCACUGUGACGUAUGCACUGAUUCACAGCCGCAUCUUGCACGGAGGAGAUGUUCCAUUUGAAAUUUGAACUUCUUCGGUUUAACGGUCGCCCACUGCUAACGGUUUUCAGUCGUCUUUGCUAUCCUUAACAUCUCCGGCAGUUCAUUUUCGAGCCUUCAAACAGCCUCAGCAACUAACCUUGCUUCAGUAUUGAUUGGGCUGUCUCUUGGCAUACUGACCUACACUGAAUCAAGCCUGGCUCAACAGUUCUGGCCCAGCACCACCCCUGAAUAUCUCUGGGAUGAGUUGGAGUGAUCCAACUAAUGCUAAUUCACUUGUGGCUGAACGCAAACAAAUCUUCACAGCAAUGUUCCGUCAUCUGUGAAGCCUUUCCCAGAAGAGUAGAGGCUGAUAUUGCAGCGAAGGCUGGAACAAGCUCCCUAUUAAUACCACUAAUUUCAAAAUAAACAUUGGACAACCAUGUGUCUACAAAUUUCUGCAUAUGUAUUUUACUUGCAUUUGUCACUGCGAACACAAAAAUGGAGCAUCAUGGCAAACGCCCUUUGGAACUGCAAACUACUCUGAGGUGAAACUUAAAAUAGUCGUGUAAAAAUUAUAUUACUCUCACCUUAACAAUGACGUGGUUACCAAUAACCUCACUGUGAUGCAGUUUUAUGACCAGAUUACCUGUUGUUAAGAAAAUAAAGCACACAGGACAAAUUAUUAAUUUUGGACACUCCAUAUGAUGGUCCUGAUGAUGAAAUGGCAAUAAAUAGUUUACACAAGAGGUUGUUCCCCACACCCAGUGAAGUGAAGUUUUAUCCUGUUUCACAUUUGAUAUCCUGUUUCACAGUAGCAUGCAGUUGAUGUAGUUGAUGCAGUCAGUCUUUGUCAUAGUAUCUGAUAGUCACUAAGUCAUUUUGUAUAACCCAUCAACCCAAAUCUAAAUAAACCAUAUGCAAAGGACUAAUUCUGAACUACAACAAUUUUAGUGUACAAGACGUAAGAUGUAAACACAGAAUGUGUGCAGUCCCAGGGACCCUCUUCUCUGCACAGUAUUAUACUUGCCCUGUUCUAACACAUACACUGAUCAGGCAUAACAUUAUGACCAUCUCCAUGUUUCUACGCUCAUUGUCCAUUUUAUCAGCUCCACUUACUA